UUCUGGUUGAUCCUGCCGGACCUGACUGCUAUCGGAUUGAUACUAAGCCAUGCGAGUCUUUGCAGUAAUGCAAGGCAUACGGCUCAGUAACACGUAGUCAACUUACCCUAUGGACGAGGAUAAUCUCGGGAAACUGAGCAUAAUACUCGAUAGAUCAUAAUGCCUGGAAUGGUUUAUGGUUGAAAUGAUUCGUCGCCAUAGGAUGGGACUGCGGCCUAUCAGCUUGUUGGUGAGGUAAUGGCCCACCAAGGCGAUUACAGGUACGGGCUCUGAGAGGAGAAGCCCGGAGAUGGGUACUGAGACAAGGACCCAGGCCCUAUGGGGCGCAGCAGGCGAGAAAACUUUGCAAUGUGCGAAAGCACGACAAGGUUAAUCCGAGUGAUUUCUGCUAAAGAAAUCUUUUGCAAGUCAUAAAACCACUAGUGAAUAAGGGGUGGGCAAGUUCUGGUGUCAGCCGCCGCGGUAAAACCAGCACCUCAAGUGGUCAGGAGGAUUAUUGGGCCUAAAGCAUCCGUAGCCGGCUCUGUAAGUUUUCGGUUAAAUCCAUGUGCUCAACGCAUGGGCUGCCGAAAAUACUGCAUAGCUAGGGAGUGGGAGAGGUAGACGGUACUCGGUAGGAAGGGGUAAAAUCCUUUGAUCUAUCGAUGACCACCUGUGGCGAAGGCGGUCUACCAGAACACGUUCGACGGUGAGGGAUGAAAGCUGGGGGAGCAAACCGGAUUAGAUACCCGGGUAGUCCCAGCUGUAAACGAUGCAGACUCGAUGAUGCAUUGGCAUAUAGCCAGUGCAGUGUCGCAGGGAAGCCGUUAAGUCUGCCGCCUGGGAAGUACGUACGCAAGUAUGAAACUUAAAGGAAUUGGCGGGGGAGCACCACAAGGGGUGAAGCCUGCGGUUCAAUUGGACUCAACGCCGGGA
rnacentral:rRNA from 1 species